CGAGGAUUUGCACAUGGGGGAACCUGAUGCAGCUAUACCGCGUGUGUGAUGAAGGUCUUAGGAUUGUAAAACACUUUCAGCAAGGGAAAAAAUUAUAUAAAUAAUACUUAUAUUAACUGAUAUUACCUGCAAAAGAAGUACCGGCUAACUCCGUGCCAGCAGCCGCGGUAAUACGGAGGGUACAAGCGUUAAUCGGAAUUAUUGGGCGUAAAGAGUACGUAGGUGGUAUAUUAAGUCAGAUGUGAAAUACUUAAGCUUAACUUAAGAACUGCAUUUGAAACUAAUAAACUAGAGUUUUAUAGAGGGGAGUAGAAUUCCAAGUGUAGCGGUGAAAUGCGUAGAUAUUUGGAGGAAUACCAGAGGCGAAGGCGACUCCCUGGGUAAUAACUGACACUGAGGUACGAAAGCUUGGGGAGCAAACAGGAUUAGAUACCCUGGUAGUCCAUGCUGUAAACGAUGUCAAUUUGAAGAUUGUAAUAUUAUUAUUUUUUAUAAUUUUCGUAGCUAACGCAUUAAAUUGACCGCCUGGGGAUUACGACCGCAAGGUUAAAACUCAAAUGAAUUGACGGGGACCCGCACAAGCGGUGGAGCAUGUGGUUUAAUUCGAUACAACGCGAAAAACUUACCUACUCUUGAACAUCUAUAACGUAUAAACGCGACACUGGUUUCACGUCAUCUUGUUGGACCGGACUCUUAAGACACGGUGCUUGCUGGGCUGUCGUCAGCUUCGUU
rnacentral:rRNA from 1 species